GAUGAAGAACGUAGCGAAAUGCGAUACGUAAUGUGAAUUGCAGAAUUCAGUGAAUCAUCGAAUCUUUGAACGCACAUUGCGCCUGCCAGCACUCUGGCAGGCAUGUCUGUUCGAGCGUCAUUUCAACCAUCAAGCCCUAGGCUUGCGUUGGAGCCCUGCGGCUGCCGCAGGCCCCUAAAAGCAGUGGCGGGCUCGCUAUCACACCGAGUGCAGUAGAUUACUCUUCGCUCAGGGCGUGUGGCGGGUUCCAGCCGUGAAACCCCCUACUUCUCAAGGUUGACCUCGGAUCAGGUAGGAAUACCCGCUGAACUUAAGCAUAUCAAUAAGCGGAGGA
rnacentral:misc_RNA from 1 species